GACGAACGCUGGCGGCGUGCUUAACACAUGCAAGUCGAACGGAAAGGCCCUGCUUUUGUGGGGUGCUCGAGUGGCGAACGGGUGAGUAACACGUGAGUAACCUGCCCUUGACUUUGGGAUAACUUCAGGAAACUGGGGCUAAUACCGGAUAGGAGCUCCUGCUGCAUGGUGGGGGUUGGAAAGUUUCGGCGGUGGGGGAUGGACUCGCGGCUUAUCAGCUUGUUGGUGGGGUAGUGGCUUACCAAGGCUUUGACGGGUAGCCGGCCUGAGAGGGUGACCGGCCACAUUGGGACGGAGAUACGGCCCAGACUCCUACGGGAGGCAGCAGUGGGGAAUAGUGCACAAUGGGCGGAAGCCUGAUGCAGCAACGCCGCGUGCGGGAUGACGGCCUUCGGGUUGUAAACCGCUUUCGCCUGUGACGAAGCGUGAGUGACGGUAAUGGGUAAAGAAGCACCGGCUAACUACGUG
rnacentral:rRNA from 1 species